AUUCAGGCGUCCUCGUGUGAGUGACAUCGUCUUUAAACCCUGCAUGGCAAUCCCUGACGCACCGCCAUGAUGCCCAGGGAAGACAGGGCGACCUGGAAGUCCAACUACUUCCUAAAGAUCAUCCAACUCCUGGAUGAUUACCCAAAAUGCUUCAUUGUGGGAGCAGACAACGUGGGCUCCAAGCAGAUGCAGCAGAUCCGCAUGUCCCUCCGCGGGAAGGCUGUGGUGCUGAUGGGCAAGAACACAAUGAUGCGCAAGGCCAUCCGAAGGCACCUGGAAAACAACCCAGCUCUGGAGAAACUGUUGCCACACAUCCGGGGGAACGUGGGCUUUGUGUUCACCAAGGAGGACCUCACUGAGAUCAGGGACAUGCUGCUGGCCAAUAAGGUGCCAGCUGCCGCCCGUGCCGGUGCCAUAGCCCCGUGUGAGGUCACUGUGCCCGCCCAGAACACUGGUCUCGGGCCCGAGAAGACCUCCUUCUUCCAGGCUUUGGGCAUCACCACCAAAAUCUCCAGGGGCACCAUUGAAAUCCUGAGUGACGUGCAACUGAUCAAGACUGGAGACAAAGUGGGAGCCAGCGAAGCCACACUGCUGAACAUGCUGAACAUCUCCCCAUUCUCCUUUGGGCUGAUCAUCCAGCAGGUGUUUGAUUGAUGAUCAAACCCCCACUGAUGAUAGAAUGGGGCACGGAUGCCACAGUUGGGUAACCAAUCUGCAGACACACGCUGGCAACGUUGCGAACACCCUCCAGGAAACGAGAAUGCAGAGUCUCCUCUGUGAUGUCAAGCACUUCAGGGUUGUAGAUGCUG